rnacentral:rRNA from 1 species
GGAUGGAUAGUUAAGCAAUUAUACCGCGAAACUGCGAAUGGCUCAUUAUAUAAGUUAUCGUUUAUUUGAUAAUACUUUACUACUUGGAUAACCGUGGUAAUUCUAGAGCUAAUACAUGCUAAAAAUCCCGACUUCGGAAGGGUUGUAUUUAUUAGAUUAAAAACCAAUGCCCCUCGGGGCUCUCUGGUGAAUCAUGAUAACUAGUCGAAUCGACAGGCCUUGUGCCGGCGAUGGCUCAUUCAAAUUUCUUCCCUAUCAACUUUCGAUGUUUGGGUCUUGUCCAAACAUGGUGGCAACGGGUAACGGAGGGUUAGGGCUCGACCCCGGAGAAGGAGCCUGAGAAACGGCUACUACAUCCAAGGAAGGCAGCAGGCGCGCAAAUUACCCAAUCCCGACACGGGGAGGUAGUGACAAUAAAUACUGAUACAGGGCUCUUUUGGGUCUUGUAAUCGGAAUGAGUACAAUUUAAAUCCCUUAACGAGGAACAAUUGGAGGGCAAGUCUGGUGCCAGCAGCCGCGGUAAUUCCAGCUCCAAUAGCGUAUAUUAAAGUUGUUGUGGUUAAAAAGAUCGUAGUUGAACCUUGGGCCUGGG